GUCUACGACCAUACCACCCUGAACACGCCAGAUCACUUCUGAUCUCAGAAGCUAAGCAGGAUCAGGCCUGGUUAGUACUUGGGAGACCACCUAGAAAUACCGGGUGCUAUAGGCU
rnacentral:rRNA from 1 species